UGUGAGCUCGAUGAGUAGGGCGGGACACGUGGUAUCCUGUCUGAAUAUGGGGGGACCAUCCUCCAAGGCUAAAUACUCCUGACUGACCGAUAGUGAACCAGUACCGUGAGGGAAAGGCGAAAAGAACCCCGGCGAGGGGAGUGAAAAAGAACCUGAAACCGUGUACGUACAAGCAGUGGGAGCACAGAGCAAUCUGUGUGACUGCGUACCUUUUGUAUAAUGGGUCAGCGACUUAUAUUCUGUAGCAAGGUUAACCGAAUAGGGGAGCCGAAGGGAAACCGAGUCUUAACUGGGCGUUAAGUUGCAGGGUAUAGACCCGAAACCCGGUGAUCUAGCCAUGGGCAGGUUGAAGGUUGGGUAACACUAACUGGAGGACCGAACCGACUAAUGUUGAAAAAUUAGCGGAUGACUUGUGGCUGGGGGUGAAAGGCCAAUCAAACCGGGAGAUAGCUGGUUCUCCCCGAAAGCUAUUUAGGUAGCGCCUCGUGAAUUCAUCUCCGGGGGUAGAGCACUGUUUCGGCAAGGGGGUCAUCCCGACUUACCAACCCGAUGCAAACUGCGAAUACCGGAGAAUGUUAUCACGGGAGACACACGGCGGGUGCUAACGUCCGUCGUGAAGAGGGAAACAACCCAGACCGCCAGCUAAGGUCCCAAAGUCAUGGUUAAGUGGGAAACGAUGUGGGAAGGCCCAGACAGCCAGGAUGUUGGCUUAGAAGCAGCCAUCAUUUAAAGAAAGCGUAAUAGCUCACUGGUCGAGUCGGCCUGCGCGGAAGAUGUAACGGGGCUAAACCAUGCACCGAAGCUGCGGCAGCGAC
rnacentral:rRNA from 1 species